GGGCAUAUAGUUUAAUCGGUUAAAACUUACCGCUCAUAACGGUUACRCUAAGGGUUCAAGUCCUUUUAUGCCUA
rnacentral:tRNA from 1 species